rnacentral:lncRNA from 1 species
ACCAGCUGCCUGGAUCCAGCUCCCUCACUGAAGGAAAUCCAUGAUCAGAGCAGAAGCUGGCCCGGCCUAGAGACUCUCUGCCAGCCACAGGGUUGCAGACCAGAUAGGCUUCUUCCUCCAAGCCAAGAUAAGCAUCUGAGCUUUAUCUCACCUCACCCUCUGAUUCCCCCACCACCACCAUCUCCAGGAUCAUACCCCCCGCCAGCCACACCAUGGCAGGCCAAGGCCAGGGGAAGCACAGAUAAGGCCCUCCUGGCCAGCAGACCACAGCAGGAGACGGGGUCGGGGGCGGGGGUGUGUUCUUCCUUUUAUCCACCCGAAGCCAGAAUUCUACUUCCUUCUCUAGAAGCAGGCCCCAAGAGAGCAUCUGGGCAGCCCUCUCAGCUACUUAGGUUGGGGCCCUGCAUUUGGCCCUCCAGCAUUCAGCAUUUAUUAUGUCCUAACCGAUUUACCUCUCAUUUUGGGAGCCAAUCAAAGGCAGAAAACCCUGUCAAUCUGAGCACCAGGGAAGCAGGAGAAUACAGUGUGGGCGGCCACUGCAUAGGAAGGACUCUUCCAGAUUUCUCGGCAGGCCCAUGUUGCAUACAGGGGUCACAGAUCCAGGCCCAGCUGUCGCAGAGCACCUGGGAACCCAAAUGAGCAGCACAUAACCGAGCCUGGGAAAUCCAGGGAGACUUCACAGAGGAGGUGACAUUUCAUCUGAAUUUAUAUAUGUAUACAUGUAUAUAUAAUUUUUCUAUUUACUUUUGGCUGUGCUGGGUCUUCACUGCCGCAUGGUUUUUCUCUAGCUGCAGCGAGCGGGGGCUACUCUCCAGUGGUGGAGCAGGCUUCUCACUGCGGAGGCUUCACUUGGUGCGGACCAUGGGCUCUAGGGACACGGGCUUCAGUAGUUGGGGCACGCGGGCUCAGUGACUGUAGGGUCAGCUCUACAGCACAGGCUCAAUAGUUGUGGCGCACGGGCUUAGCUGCUACAUGGCAUGUGAGAUCUUCCCAGAUCAGGAUCGAACCCAUGUCUCCUGUAAUGGCAGGCAGAUUCUUUACCACUGAGCCACCAGGGAGGCCCCUCAGCUGAAUUUUAAAGGAUAAAAGGGAUUUCUUCAGACACAAAGAUAAAACGGAUGAGCAUCCCAAGCAAAGAGAACAGUGUGGCGAAGUCCUGGAGCCACAGGAAAAGCAGCACAUGAUUGCACAGUGAUGGUAAAUAGAACGGCUGGAGUCUCGGGCCUGGGAAAGGGGAGAGGAGGUUGGGAAGGGGAGUGUGGGGAGAUGAGACUCUAGCACUGGGGAGGAUUAGGGGCUGGGGGUGAUGGCCUCAAAGGCC